rnacentral:rRNA from 1 species
AUUGAACGCUGGCGGCAUGCCUUACACAUGCAAGUCGAACGGUAACAGGUCUUCGGAUGCUGACGAGUGGCGAACGGGUGAGUAAUACAUCGGAACGUGCCCGAGAGUGGGGGAUAACGAAGCGAAAGCUUUGCUAAUACCGCAUACGAUCUCAGGAUGAAAGCAGGGGAACGCAAGGCCUUGCGCUCACGGAGCGGCCGAUGGCAGGUUAGGUAGUUGGUGGGAUAAAAGCUUACCAAGCAGACGAUCUGUAGCUGGUCUGAGAGGACGACCAGCCACACUGGGACUGAGACACGGCCCAGACUCCUACGGGAGGCAGCAGUGGGGAAUUUUGGACAAUGGGCGCAAGCCUGAUCCAGCCAUGCCGCGUGCAGGAUGAAGGCCUUCGGGUUGUAAACUGCUUUUGUACGGAACGAAAAGACUUCUUCUAAUAAAGGGGGUCCAUGACGGUACCGUAAGAAUAAGCACCGGCAAACUACGUGCCAGCCGCCGCCGUAAAAC